GGGCGGAUAGCUCAGCUGGGAGAGCGCAGCCCUUACAAGGCUGAGGUCAGAGGUUCGAAUCCUCUUCCGCCUACCA
rnacentral:tRNA from 1 species